UUUGUAUGUUUGUUUGUGGGUAUUUUUGUUGGUUGUUUUUUGUUUUGGUUGGUUUUUUUGUGUGUUUUUGUUGUUGUUGUUGUUGUUGUUGUUGUUGUUUUUCCCAGGAAUACCAUGUACCAUCAAAGACAGCCUAUACAGUCAUAAAGAGAUGGAACUGAUCCACAAGAUAUCUUUACAUUUAUGAUGGAAGAGGACAAUAAAGGGCAUUUAAAAUCCUCAUCCUACCAAAUAUAUCAUUGCACUGUUAUUGACAACAGUAUCAGUGACCUGAGAAGCCUCAGGAACAGAGAAGUGGAAGAGUAUCCUCUGGCAAAGUCCACUUCUUUAUGCCAUGAGGUACAAGGCAAACAACAGUAUAUUCCAUGAACUUAAAGGGUCAUCAUAAUUGAUGGAAGAAAUUUAUGUUCGUGGUUGUCAGCUGUACCUGAUUCUCAAUGGUUCUCUUCCUACACUCACCUCAGAGACUCUUGACAGAGGAGUUUCACCUGUGAUCCACAUAACUGUAUGUGAAAAUUGCAUAAGAUAACCCCAAAGACUCAUUUUUCUUGAAUACUUGACAGGACAUAGUAUUACAAAGUAUCAUUGUGCAUUCUUGGACAGUCCUGUAUUUUGACUGUGAAGUAACUCAUCUCCUGCGGAUUUCCCCAACAUCAUCAAGCAUGAUCAAUGACUCUCAUCUUUCUUUUGAUAUGGGAAAAUUAAUUCAGUGUGUGUAUACCAUGGAGUAACAGAAGGAACCCAGGAGAAUUUUGUGAAAAAUAUGUAAAUGAAAAACUGGAUUCCCAAGAGAUGUGCCAGAGUCAAGAAUAAUUGUAUCCAAACUGUAACUAAUGAACAAAUGAUUCACUGAAAUACAUUCCAUAUUUCCAUUCACCACCAUCUGUUAUUGGCAAGAUACUUUGUUCCCAGCUACAAAACUUGAGCAAGCACAGGAGCACCAAAUUAAGGGACAAAAGUGAAUGCUCUGAAUGCUGCAAGGAAGAGCGUUCUUCUAUAAGAAUCUAAGAGAUAAGAAAGAGCCUGCUCUGUCAGGCCUGGAAAAUUAGAAAAGGCCUAUUCAUCUACAACCAACCCGUCAGAAAGGCUAAGAAUAAGGAGCAGAUCACCCUAACCAAGGAAAGAAGUUUUUUUUCAUAUUUGAUGUGUCACAACUUGGGGGAGCUACAUGCUGGAAAAUCUACACAAAGCCUUCUUUAGUAAGUGACAGAACAAUCCUAUGUAUGGCAUCCCAGCAUCUGAAGCUGUAUUUUUCUUGGUUGGUCUUGACUGAUUUCUUCACUAGAAAUAACCAAGCUAAAUCAAUUGUCUCUCUGAAGGAAGAAACAAAAGUUUUUGUUUAAAUAAAAUGAACUUUUCCUAGCCACAGUAUUUAACCCU